CCUACGGGAGGCAGCAGUAGGAAGAGUUCACAAGGGACGAAAGUCGGACGGAGCAACGACGCGGGAGUGAAGAAGGGUUUCGGCUCGUAAAGCUCUGUUGGUAGGGAAGAAAGAUAGAGGUAGUAACUGGCCUUUAUGUGACGGUAAUGAAUUAGAAAGGCACGGCUAACUACGUGCAAGCAGCCGCGGGAAUACGUAGGUGGCAAGCGUUGUCCGGAUUUAUUGGGCGUAAAGCGAGUGCAGGCGGUUCAAUAAGUCUGAUGUGAAAGCCUUCGGCGCAACCGGAGAAUUGCAUCCGAAACUGUUGAACUUGAGUGCAGAAGCGGAGAGUGGCACUCCAUGUGUAGCGGUGGAAUGCGUAGAUAUCUG
rnacentral:rRNA from 1 species